CGGUAUGCGCACACUCCGCAGAAGGACUCCUGGUGCGGGCCGGUGAGUGGCUGCGCGCUGUCCGGGACGGAGGCACGUGACUGCAUCUAGCCACUGACAGCGGUCCUGUGGAACGAUAUGAAUGAACACAAUGGGUAAAAGUGCCCUUUAACUGCAAACACUCCCGUUGGCUUGAAAUGCUUUUUAAAAGAUCAGCAGCAGAGUAAAAGCGGGCACCCACGUGGCAUCGACGGACACAUCGUCAUCAUCAACACCUUCACCGCUAUCUGACACCUCAAGAAAGGAAGCAGCAGC